rnacentral:rRNA from 1 species
UACGUAGGGUGCGAGCGUUAAUCGGAAUUACUGGGCGUAAAGCGUGCGCAGGCGGUUUCGCAAGUCAGAUGUGAAAGCCCCGGGCUCAACCUGGGAACUGCGUUUGAAACUACGAAGCUAGAGUACGGCAGAGGGAGGUGGAAUUCCAAGUGUAGCAGUGAAAUGCGUAGAUAUUUGGAGGAACACCGAUGGCGAAGGCAGCCUCCUGGGCUAGUACUGACGCUCAUGCACGAAAGCGUGGGGAGCAAACAGG